rnacentral:misc_RNA from 1 species
GAUGAAGAACGCAGCGAAAUGCGAUAAGUAAUGUGAAUUGCAGAAUUCAGUGAAUCAUCGAAUCUUUGAACGCACAUUGCGCCCCCUGGUAUUCCGGGGGGCAUGCCUGUCCGAGCGUCAUUACAACCCUCAAGCUCAGCUUGGUGUUGGGCCCCGCCGCCCCGGCGGGCCCUAAAGUCAGUGGCGGUGCCGUCCGGCUCCGAGCGUAGUAAUUCUUCUCGCUCUGGAGGUCCGGUCGUGUGCUUGCCAGCAACCCCCAAUUUUUUUCAGGUUGACCUCGGAUCAGGUAGGGAUACCCGCUGAACUUAAGCAUAUCAUAAGCGGAGGA